UUACCGUUUAGCACUCCAUUCAAAACUGCUUGGCCUUUGUAUACAGAGGACACUUAUUGGGGUCUUGAGAAUCUGGUUCAGGAAAUAUCCCUGGGUCUCAUUUCUGGCCUGAAAAGUAGUUGUGAAGGAUCUCUGCUGAUGGGUCCCCUUUCAAGGGGGAAUGGAUGCCACCCACCUAGAGACAGACCCCAAACCCGAGCCAGCAAGUUGACCUGCUUGAGGAUGUAUGAUGGCGUGGAUGCAGUCCCACUGGGGAUCCGAGGUCAUUCUUCCUUUGAAUCCAUCCUUCUGUUAUUUUUAUCUUCCCAAUUUUUCUCUUUCUAGGCUUGCUCUCAGUAGCGGCCAUUCAGAUCUUCUCCAUUUAUUAAGAGAUGAAUUGAAAAGCUGAGUGUGGUGGCAUUUUAAUCUUCGCAUUCGAGAG
rnacentral:lncRNA from 1 species